CGUAGCGAAAGUUACGCUAAUACCGCAUACGAUCUAAGGAUGAAAGUGGGGGAUCGCAAGACCUCAUGCUCGUGGAGCGGCCGAUAUCUGAUUAGCUAGUUGGUAGGGUAAAAGCCUACCAAGGCAUCGAUCAGUAGCUGGUCUGAGAGGACGACCAGCCACACUGGAACUGAGACACGGUCCAGACUCCUACGGGAGGCAGCAGUGGGGAAUUUUGGACAAUGGGCGAAAGCCUGAUCCAGCAAUGCCGCGUGAGUGAAGAAGGCCUUCGGGUUGUAAAGCUCUUUUGUCAGGGAAGAAACGGUGAGAGCUAAUAUCUCUUGCUAAUGACGGUACCUGAAGAAUAAGCACCGGCUAACUACGUGCCAGCAGCCGCGGUAAUACGUAGGGUGCAAGCGUUAAUCGGAAUUACUGGGCGUAAAGCGUGCGCAGGCGGUUUUGUAAGUCUGAUGUGAAAUCCCCGGGCUCAACCUGGGAAUUGCAUUGGAGACUGCAAGGCUAGAAUCUGGCAGAGGGGGGUAGAAUUCCACGUGUAGCAGUGAAAUGCGUAGAUAUGUGGAGGAACACCGAUGGCGAAGGCAGCCCCCUGGGUCAAGAUUGACGCUCAUGCACGAAAGCGUGGGGAGCAAACAGGAUUAUAUACCCUGGUAGUCCACGCCCUAAACGAUGUCUACUAGUUGUCGGGUCUUAAUUGACUUGGUAACGCAGCUAACGCGUGAAGUAGAC
rnacentral:rRNA from 1 species